rnacentral:rRNA from 1 species
UACGUAGGGUGCGAGCGUUAAUCGGAAUUACUGGGCGUAAAGCGUGCGCAGGCGGUUUUGUAAGCCAGAUGUGAAAUCCCCGGGCUUAACCUGGGAAUGGCAUUUGGGACUGCAAGGCUUGAGUGCGGCAGAGGAGACUGGAAUUCCUGGUGUAGCAGUGAAAUGCGUAGAUAUCAGGAGGAACACCAGUGGCGAAGGCGGUUGCCUGGAGCUUUGCUGACGCUGAUGCGCGAAAGCGUGGGGAGCGAUCCGG